CUAGUGAGCGCACACAGACUAACAUCACAAGGCAGGAGAGAAUAGAGGGAACAGGUCCCUGAUGAUGAUAGUGUCGAUGAUGAUCAGAUUGGGUAGAUCAUCCACCUCCUCAUUGUGGUGCGCACCAAAAUGAUCUACACACAUUUGUCAUCCAAAGUAAAAACCUGCAUGAUUAAAAAACCUACAUCAAAACUUCUUACAAUCAAUCAAACAAUAAAGAUCAGUGUGGAUUCUAAAUGAGUACAGCGCGAAGCUACUCCUAUCAAUCUCAAACUUGUAUUUUUGUUUGUUGCAAUCUAAACUAUAUCACCACAAGUUCUAUGAUGCAUCCAAACUUGUGAAAUUCAUGCAUAGAUUCAAGUAUGAUACUAAGUGAGCAGGUAGAAUCACGCAAGCAUGGAGGCAAGUGUCUCACCUGCGGCAACUGACCAGGAGCGAAGUUGAGCAUGGCCGUGGCAGGAGCACCUGGAGUAGCACG
rnacentral:lncRNA from 1 species